UGUACACUCGUCAGUGUCUGGCUUUCACUCAGCAAACUCUGAGAUGCAUCCAGGUUUUUGCAUAUGGCCGUCUGUCUUGCCUGUGUUCAGCCAGUGGCGUUCCCAUGGAUCCUCCCCUUCAGGUCAAACAGGGACAGGCCAAGCCCCGCCCCUGAAGUUUCGACAGACGAGGUCGAGUGCUUCUCAGACCACAUGACGCUGUGGAUCCCAAGGAGCCACGUGGAGGGGCUGCGGCAGUGGUUGGGCAGAACCCUGCACGUGCCAGGUGUCUGGAGGUCCCCUGACUCCUGGCUUCUCU